GACCUUCAGCAGCACAUAUACUAAAAUUGGAACGACAGAGAGAAGAUUAAUGUGACCCCUGCACAAGGACGACAUGCAAAUUCAUGAAGUGUUUUAUAUUUAA
ensembl:snRNA U6 U6 spliceosomal RNA